rnacentral:lncRNA from 13 species
GUGUACCUAAGCAACUGUCUUGCACGUUCUGCACAUGUACCCCAAAACCUAAAAUGCAAUAAAAAAAAACAAAACUCGCCAAAACACUAUCAUUUAAAAAGACAUUAAAUGAGGCAAUAAUUAUGCCACAUUUUUCUUUAAUAUGAAGCAGUUAAGAGCAUUCUCAGGUAUAAAUAACCUUUACCCAGAAUUGGGUAAAAUCUGGAAUGCCUUUCAGAGAAAUGCAUAUGACCAUUAAUAAAUCUUAUGAGAUUAAGUCAGUAUAAUGAGUUGCCAAAACCAGAGACCAGCCAGGCAACACUUUAAACAAGUUGGUCUUGCUCUUAUAAUAAUGUUUUAAAGGCCAAUUAAAACAUUUUAUUCACUUGAUUGCAUGCUUUCAAAGUUUACAUGUAAGUCCUGAAAUGUAAACAGAGAUGUUCUCCUCUGAAGUUGCCUUAUCAUUCUCUGACUUUUAGGACUUGCCCAAUAUGGGCAUGGUUGAAACAUAGGUUUUGUUACUGAAGCCCAUGGAAUUUAUCUUAUUUUAGGCUUUGAUUUCAGAACCACGGAUGAUGUAUUUUCUCCACGUUGUCUCUUCUGUUCCUGCAAACCCCAGAGAACAUGCUGUAUGAGUAUAAUGGAAAUCAUUUCACUUUCUUUGACUUAUGGUUAGUGAAGAGGAUUUCAGGCUGGCAUCAAGUUACAGGUCAUCCUCUUAUCCUUGUAUUCUGCGUGUAUAUUACUGGCUACAAGCCAACCAGCAGUGGAAACCUCCCGGAGUUCUCGAAGACCUGGCCUGUGGAGUUAAGCCGGGCUUGGUGGAUGCAGCCCAGAGUCUUGCUCUAUCACCAGGCUGGAGUGCACUGGCAGGAUCCCGGCUCAUUCCAACUUCCACUUUCGGAUUUCAAGCAAUUCUCCUGCCUCAGCCUCCGGAGUAGCUGGGACUACAGGCACGCACUACCACGCCUGGCUAAUUUUUUGUAGUUUUAGUGGAGACAGGGUUUCACCAUGUUGGCCAGGAUGGUCUGGAUCUCUUGACCUCGUGAUUUGCCUGCCUCGGCCUCCCAAAGUGCUGGGAUUACAGGCAUGAGCCACUGUGCCCGGCUGAUAAUAAGUAUCCUUAGUUCCAUCUUCAAUGUCUCUUGACAGCAGUAUUUAGGUGAGUGUUUGAUUGAAUAACCAGGGACUAGAAUCGUGUCUUUAGAAUUCUGCCUGCCACAGGUGCUAUCACCUUAUACAUUGUUUUGUGUUGUUUUCCCUUUUUGUAUUUUGUUUCACAAGUAACUAUGGCUAAAAAAUUGUGGAGAUAUACAAACUGGUGCUUUCCUGUGAUAUUUGAAAGAUACUUACUAAAGGUACUUAACCUUUUUUUUGUGAAAAAAAUAUAAAAGUGUUUUUUUCUUAGCUGAAAUAAUUUGUAUUUUCAUCAUGUAUAAGGAUAGUAAAAAUGUAGGUAUGAAAAAGUAAAUUCUUGAACUUGCUGCUUUUUUCUUUGGAAGGGAGGAAGGGGAGGAAGGCAGGAAGGGAGGAAAGGAGGAGGAAGAGAGGAAG